rnacentral:misc_RNA from 1 species
CGAAGCGAUUAGGGCGACACAGCCGGGCGUAUAUCUCCAUCUUAGGCCGCCGGAUCUCCUUCUCCGCCCGCUUCAUCAGAUGCCGGUAACUCUCCGGGAGCUUCGCCCUCCAUAUCUGGUCGGACGAAGCCGCCCGCGAGAACGUCGAGCUGACACGCGCCAGCCGGCAGAUCUCCGGCGGGUCGAGAUGCUUCAUCACCUCCGCCACGCAGCCCUCCGGCAGGUCCCCCAGCCCCGUCUCGCCGCCGCCGAUCUCGCCCUCCGGGCCGGCAAUGCUCGACGCCGAAGCCCCCAUCGCCGCCGCUGCUUGCUGCUCAGUGAGUGCAGAGGAAACGAG